rnacentral:rRNA from 1 species
CCCAGACUCCUACGGGAGGCAGCAGUGAGGAAUAUUGGUCAAUGGGCGGAAGCCUGAACCAGCCAAGUCGCGUGAGGGACUAAGGCCCUGCGGGUCGUAAACCUCUUUUGCCGGGGAGCAGUGGUCCGGACGCGUCCGGACCGGGAGAGUACCCGGAGAAAAAGCAUCGGCUAACUCCGUGCCAGCAGCCGCGGUAAUACGGAGGAUGCGAGCGUUAUCCGGAUUUAUUGGGUUUAAAGGGUGCGUAGGCGGGCAUUUAAGCCGGCGGUCAAAUGUCGGGGCUCAACCCCGGCCUGCCGUCGGAACUGGGUGCCUUGAGUGGGCGAGAAGUAUGCGGAAUGCGUGGUGUAGCGGUGAAAUGCAUAGAUAUCACGCAGAACCCCGAUUGCGAAGGCAGCAUACCGGCGCGCAACUGACGCUCAUGCACGAAAGCGUGGGUAUCGAACAGGAUUAGAUACCC